AGCGAACGCUGGCGGCAGGCCUAACACAUGCAAGUCGAACGGAUCCUUCGGGAUUAGUGGCGGACGGGUGAGUAACACGUGGGAACGUGCCCUUUGGUUCGGAACAACUCAGGGAAACUUGAGCUAAUACCGAAUGUGCCCUUCGGGGGAAAGAUUUAUCGCCAUUGGAGCGGCCCGCGUCUGAUUAGCUAGUUGGUGAGGUAACGGCCCACCAAGGCGACGAUCAGUAGCUGGUCUGAGAGGAUGAUCAGCCACACUGGGACUGAGACACGGCCCAGACUCCUACGGGAGGCAGCAGUGGGGAAUCUUGCGCAAUGGGCGAAAGCCUGACGCAGCCAUGCCGCGUGAAUGAUGAAGGUCUUAGGAUUGUAAAAUUCUUUCAGCGGGGACGAUAAUGACGGUACCCGCAGAAGAAGCUCCGGCUAACUUCGUG
rnacentral:rRNA from 1 species